UCGUUUUUCACCCGUGCCUUCGCCCGACUCACCGCCGAAGCCUUCUUCUCUUCUCUUCCCCUUUUUCCUCUUCGUCGAGCUCACGCCGCCGCCCUCUCCUCUCUUCUCCCGAUCGCGUGCCCUAGCCAUCCUCGCGCCGAUUUCCUCUCCCUCCUCCCUCUCGCUCUGAUCCCUCCCCUCUUCUCCACCUCAUGCCAACCCCCCUUCCGAUCUCCCUGUGUGCCACUGCCGACCACCACGGACCCACGAUCGGUCGUUGCAGCCUGAAGCCUACCGCCACGACCCGACACUAGUCGCAAGAAGCUGAGCACCAUCUUCUUCACCGACGCGUCGCUGGCGUCGAUCGACAGUUGGCCUCGUGCCCUAGCCGUUCCUCUUCACCGUCGGCUGCUAGGCCGACGUCGGAGCAUAGGCGUUGCCGUUGGCCCCUUUCUAGUUACAAGUCUUCAUCUUUCCUUGGGUCGUGACCUAGUUUUGGAUCCACGACACCAUUGACAACCAGUAGCGGGCUCUGCUAGUAGCUAGUCCGAUCUGUGCCACCCGUGAUUGCUGAAGAGGAAGAGGACGUUGCUUCGAAACGAGCAUUUCGACGUGAGAUUUGUUCCAAUACGAACUACUGAUUAAGGCGGGUACCUUUUGACUUAUCUCUUUUGAUAAUGUCAUUUUGAUAUACAUAGUAGGUUAUAGCUAGUAGCAAUGAUCAUGUUAUAUUUGCCUUUAUAUGCCACUACUAGAUACCUGUAGCUUGUUUUUAUUGUUGUCUGAUAUGCAUUCAUGUUUAUAUACUCUUGAUUAUUAUCAUGUGUAUUUUGUUUCCUAGAGGUA